rnacentral:lncRNA from 1 species
UCGAUCAUGUCACUCGAGUGAGUGCAUCGAGUGACAGGUGGUUCUGCUUCGCUUCCCUUCUGCUCGAUCAGCUACUCGAUCGUAUACGUCUGCUGCUCACUCGAUCGUCGAUGUAAUUGCAAUGUAUCUCUGCUGCCUACUCGAUCAUCCUACUCGGUCGUGUCAAUCGAGUGAAGUAUGUUCCUGCAACGCAUCCUUGCUUCUCACUCGAUCGUCCCACUCGAUCGUGUGCAUGUUGAGUAACGCUUGUUCCUCUGCUUUGCUCUACAUGUCUCCUAAGUACCUGAAAUACUCCAAAUAUGCACAAUGUAUGCAAGAUAUGCAUGAUAUGCAUAAAACCUACCUAAGUAUGUAAAACAUGCAGAAAGGGAUCAAUAUGAUGCGAAUCAAGAAGUGAAUGAUGCUGAAAAGAUGAUGAAUGCAUGCUCAAAAAGCGAUGAAAUACAGACUUAUCAACUCCCCCAAACUUAGUCUUUGCUUGCCCUCAAGCAAAGCAAAAAGAAACAAAGUGGAAGAGAGGUUUGAAAAUGGGGUCUCAGAACCUGUAACUUGCAAGAUAGAGCAGUUAAAAUCAAUGUCCU